rnacentral:pre_miRNA from 1 species
UAACCUCUGCAGGUGGCUGGCCCCGUGGUGGGCUGGGAAAGUAUCUCCCUGACCGGCUCACCCUCAGGCACAACUAGGAGC